GGGGCUGACCGGUUUUGACAGCGUGUAGAAGUGGUGUGUAAGCAUGCAGAGCCAUGAUGUAAGGUGCUCUUUAAACCCCGACAUCGACUUUUUUAAAUGGCGAAAACAACUACGCUCUUGCUGCUUAAUCGAAGCAUAGUAGAUUAGCUUAAUCGCCGCAACAGUUGCAGCGACAAGACAUCGCCCGAUUGUCCUGGUCCCGAGACUAAUCGACAAGGCGGUGCAGAUAAAUCGGGAAUAGCGCGGUUCACUCCCCGAGGACAGCGCGAAAUUCAGGGGAUAAGGAAUCGGUUGGUGGUUUCUUGCCUGCCGACUCACGAAAACCAAGUAGAAACUAAGCAUGUAGAAAGCACAUUAGUUCCGCGUUUGGACGAGGGUUCGAAUCCCUCCAGCUCCACUU
rnacentral:tmRNA from 1 species